ensembl:processed_transcript D030025E07Rik RIKEN cDNA D030025E07 gene
UGCUCAUUAGAAGUCCAAGUGAUUCCCACCACGCUUUGAGGGAGAGCUCGGAUUCCUUACCCAGAGGCUGAGCAGAGCUCAUCCCCUCCUGGAGAAACGGAGAUAGCUCACCUUCUCCACACUCAAAAGAGCUGAGUGAAGUUUCAUGACAUUUCCUAGGAAGCCAAACUUAGUGGAACUUUAGAUGUGCCUGGGAACAGUGUCUUCAUGCAAGAUCUUCCCUGCUGAGGACUCUUGACGCUGCAGAAGCAGGUAGACGCAGCUGUGCUUAGAAGGCAACAAGAUCUCCAGACAACAGACCCAGUGACAUCUCCAGGUGAUCUGAUUUCCUAUAGUGGGUCCCCAGUGGUGGCAUCUUAAAUGGCAUCGGGGAUGUAUCAAAACCUUCAAAAAACAAAGCCAAGCCAGAGAGUUUCUGGAGAUGUGAGGAAGCACCCUUCCAAUGGUGAUGAAAGGGAGUGGAAAGGGUGAGAAGAAGAUGAUGUCAGAAGCAAGCAGCCUGGAGUACCGUCACUUUUCUGUGGCCAGUCUAUUCUCUUCAAACCUAUCUUAUACAUUGGCUUUGGUUACUGGAGGGCAAAAAAAAAAAGGAUCAACCAUUCUAUUUGUUGGGGGGUUAUUUUUCUUGUCACAAUCAUUAGCAUAGCUGAACA